rnacentral:ribozyme from 1 species
CCAGGACGGAACUCGCCUUGUCGUGGCCCCAUGGCUUAUUCUUUGGCACAAAAGGAGACUUUCUCUUCCAUGCUUAGUGUCACUGAAACUAAGAGUUC